GGCAUCUCCAACCGGGCGACCCAUCCCGCGCCCGCGCGUCCGGAUGGGUCGAAACGGACAAAACCGCGGCCCAGCGCGCGGACCCAUCCCUAAAACGGAUGGCCGCGGCGUCCGGGACGACCCAAACCCGGCCCAAAUCUUGGACGAGUUUGCGUGGCCGCGGACGCGAAAGGCUGGUCGCUCGCGUCCUCCCUUGUCCGCCCCUGGCCCGCCUGUCUGCCUCCCAAAACAGAAAACACUCCACUGUACUCCCAAAACCUAGAGAUGGCCGACGAAGUGACUGCCGCCGCCACCGCCACCGCCACCAUCGAAGAGGAGGCACCCGCGGCCGUUGCCGCUCCUGCCGUGGAGGCGGCUCCUGAACUGGCGGUGGCCGAGCUCCCCCCCGGGCCGCCGACGAAGAAGGCGAAGGCCGAGCUCACCCCGGAGCAGAGGAAGCUCGAGAGCAGGAAGAGGGCCGACCGGCGCAGGGCGCUGGACCAACGGAAGAGGGAAACCGCUGCCGAGCUGGAGCGGCAGCGGGCGGCAGAGCAGCUUCUCCAACUCCAGACGGAGGCGAAGAGCAGUCUCCUUCAAGAGCAGCAGGCCAUGCUAUUUUACGGCCACCCAGCGCUCGGCCAGCACAUGAUCAUCCCCGGCACCGGCGCGGCCUCGGUGGGGAGCUCGGCCUCCUCCGUGACCCGGCCCCUUCCUCCAAGGUCAACUGCCCCGCCGACUGCCCUAUUUGGGCACGAAAUGGGGGCGCAUGGGCGGCAGGCGUACCAGUCACGGGAUGGGUCACCGGAGGUGGGUGAGUCCAUGACGGGGCCGUCACCUUCGUCCAUUGACCUGAACCGUGCGCCGGCGAACUCCAAAGGCCCGAAGAACCUGGGAGCAGCUGCGACGUCCGGUGCACGCAACCUGUUCGACGAUAUGUCGGCCGCGCGCGCGCAGUCACCGUCCGCCGUGCAGGCCCCUCCGUCUUUCGCGCAGACAAUGCCGACGACCCUUCCAUAUCCUUCGACACAGCAGGCUCCCCAGCCACCUCCCAUUGACACACAGGAGGGCACAACCGCCUGUCCGGCAGCAUAAACAUUGAGGAGGAGCCGUUGUUCGGUGAGGGCCUCACACAAGCCGCAGCUGCACAAGCUCGAGGUCGCCGGGUAAGCAAACGAACCGCCAACUACACGGAGAAGGAGGACAAGGUGCUCGUCGAUGGAUGGUUGACCAUCGGGCAAGAUGCGUUGACGGGUGCCGAGCAGAAGGGGUCCGCAUUCUGGCGCCGGAUCUAUGAAUACUUCCAUGAACAUCGCAAAUAUGGACAGGAGCCAUUUGAGAGCGACCGCAGCGAAAUAUCGCUCCAAAAGAGGUGGGGAGCAAUUCAAACGGAAUGCAACAAGUUCCAGGCGGCGUAUGAGCACGCGAGGCGGCUCCCCGUUAGUGGCAUGGGUGUGAAGGACUUGGUGUGGCGAGCUUUGGAAUUCUACAAAGCCAACAAUGGAGAGAAGACCUUUGCCUUCCCUCAUUGUUGGAAGGAACUCCACGGCACCCCCAAGUUCCAGGAGGGGUACGAGGGCUACAUGGCGACCUUGACUGGCAACAAUCCCGCCAAAGAUGCCACGGUCAUUGACCUUGAUGGUGGGCAGCCUUGCGGCAGCUCCGCUUCUCGUGCAAGUCGUCCACGCGGCCACAAGUCAACCAAAGCCGACAUGAAGCGUGAUGCGUCGUCCAUGCUAUUGUAUGGCACUUUGAAGGAGAUGCAUGCGGACAGAGAGGUGUCCACGGACAAGAGGGAUGAGAGGAGGCGCCGGGAGAAAGAAGAGGACAGGAAGAAAUUCUUUGAUGUCCAGCAGAAGAAGCUUGAGAUUGAAGAGGUCAAGGCGAAGACCAAAGCUAAAGAACUUGAGCUCAAAGAGAGAGAACUUGAGCUCAUAGCAAUGGCAAGGGCCAAAGAGGUGGAGCUGAAGGCGAAGGAAGUUGAGCUCAAACGCCAAGCCGAGGACAACCUCAUCAUGAACGCCGACUUGACCAACAUGAGCGAGGCAAAGAGAGCUUGGUUCGAGAAGAGACAGAAGGAGAUCCUCGAGCGCCCAAAUUGAGUUAGACAAUCUCAAUUGCAAUUUUUAUAUUUUUCUCAAACUAUGACACAUUUUAUUUGAUUUAUCAUGGUACAUUUGAUAAUAUUGUAUGGUAUUUGAUAAUAUUUUAUGU